UACGAACCGUACGAACGUUAUUCGGAAUCACUGGGCUUAAAGGGUGCGUAGGCGGCCAUGUAAGUGAGGUGUGAAAUCCCUCGGCUCAACCGAGGAACUGCGCUUCAUACUGCAUGGCUUGAGGGAGACAGGGGUAAGCGGAACUGAUGGUGGAGCGGUGAAAUGCGUUGAUAUCAUCAGGAACACCGGUGGCGAAAGCGGCUUACUGGGUCUCUUCUGACGCUGAGGUACGAAAGCGUGGGGAGCAAACAGG
rnacentral:rRNA from 1 species